AUGGGAUUUGGCUUAUCUCUUGCAGAGUUCUCCUACAAUAAUUCCAAGCAUAGAUCCACAGGAAGGAGCCCUUUUUCCAUUGUCUACACUAAAGUUCCAACACAUGUGGUGGACCUGGUGAAGCUGCCAUCAAGGGGAAACUCAAAAUCAGCAUUGUCCUUUGCUGAUAAUUACACCGAGUUAUUUGAAGAGAUUCGCGGCGCUUUGGAAGCACGAAAUCAGAACUAUAAACAACUUGCUGAUUGCAAAAAGAGGCCAAAAUCAUUCCAAGUCGGUGAUAAGGUGAUGGUCUACCUCCAAAAAGAGAGGCUGCCUUUAGGUGUUAAAGGGAAACUUAGGCAGCGAAGGUAUGGGCCCUUCUCUAUCAUGAGGAAGAUAAAUGAUAAUGCUUAUGUGAUAGAUCUUCCAAGUGACAUGGGUAUCUCCAACACUUUCAAUGUUGCGGACUUGACUCUCUACCAUCCAGAAGAAGCGCUCUAUGAAGAUAACUCGAGGGCGAGUUCCAAACAACCAGGGAAGAAUGAUGAGGAACACUAG
rnacentral:rRNA from 1 species